rnacentral:lncRNA from 1 species
UUUCUCGCUUCAUCCGCCAUCUUCCUCUGUGUUCGCUAUGGCGUCUUGUACUUCUACCCAACGUUGCCCCUCAGCCCCCCAGCCCCCGAGCUCACUGCCCUCGGCCCGCAUCUCCGGAUGCUUCCUCCGGGACUGCGGGAUACGGAGCCUGCCGCCUAGGAACCCGAUUUCUCCGUCUCGUCCAUGGAAGCACGGGUCAUAGUGGCCGCAUGCGCAGUGCUAACUCAGCGGCCCGCGCCUUUUGACCGCUGUUGUGGUGGAGAUUGUGGUGAGGAAGGAGACCAGAAGAUGACGACGACAAUGACACAGCAGAAGGGCCGGGUUACACUUGGGCUUCUUUCUUUGAAGUCUGAGAAGACAGUCUGUCAGGCCGAGCUCAUUACACUAAGGUCCAUGUAACCAGUGAAGCGGCCAUUAUACAUGAUUUGGUCUACAGUUGUUGGAAAAGCUCCACAAGGGGAUCUCCUGGAAGCCAUUGCAAUCAGAGCUAGAGUCAAAUCAAGGCCAGCCUGGGCUACGUGGAAGAACCUCAUUUUGGAAAAGUGAAAUGCUUAACAUGCAAUUGGUUCAAUGACUUUUGGAAAGUG